rnacentral:rRNA from 1 species
AACGAACGCUGGCGGCAUGCCUAACACAUGCAAGUCGAACGAGACCUUCGGGUCUAGUGGCGCACGGGUGCGUAACGCGUGGGAACCUGCCUUUAGGUUCGGAAUAACUCAGAGAAAUUUGAGCUAAUACCGGAUAAUGUCUUCGGACCAAAGAUUUAUCGCCUUUAGAUGGGCCCGCGUUGGAUUAGCUAGUUGGUGGGGUAAAGGCCUACCAAGGCGACGAUCCAUAGCUGGUCUGAGAGGAUGAUCAGCCACACUGGGACUGAGACACGGCCCAGACUCCUACGGGAGGCAGCAGUGGGGAAUAUUGGACAAUGGGCGAAAGCCUGAUCCAGCAAUGCCGCGUGAGUGAUGAAGGCCUUAGGUGUAAAGCUCUUUACCCGAGAUGAUAAUGACAGUAUCGGGAGAAUAAGCUCCGGCUAACUCCGUGCCAGCAGCCGCGGUAAUGUGACUACUG